rnacentral:tRNA from 1 species
AUUCCUUCCCUUACUA